CGUGUAAAGGCAGUUUUUUUCGAGCUGCAAUGCAAUCUGUAUGGGUUCCGGGAGGGCUCGCACUUACGUGUUUACGUCAUGCGCCCAGCAGCAGAGCUACGCUUCUGCCACCUGAAAACGACUCGGCAGUCCUUCAGGUUGUUGCUGUCACUAUGAGCAGCUGCUGUAGAAAACGUACAUUCAGGCUGAAAAUUCAACCAUGGUGUCGGGAGAUGCAGUGACUUUAUCAGCGAAACAGAAGAAGAAAGAGGAGGUAUCAUGAUGUGGCCACCACUGGCAUCUUGCCAGAGGAGGGUAAAAAGAAGAAGAAGUAGGAAAGCAACACAGAAAAUAAACCAGAAAGAAUAGAAUAUACCUUUUAUAUUUCCCCUUACACGCUUUGAUAUUUAUGUGUAAAUACAGAGUGAGAAUGGGAGAACAACACAUAGCUCGUUGUUACUGUGUGAUUAUAGAGUACAGGAGAACAGUGGAAACUUUAAUACAGCCCACACCCCUAAUAAUACUGUGUAUCUACAGGAUAACAAGUGGAUUUUUUACUACUCUUUGCUUACCUUAAGUAAUGAAAGAAUGAAAAUAAAUACUGUGCUCCUCUGUACCCCAUUAAACAUUUA